rnacentral:rRNA from 1 species
CAUGGAGCUGAAAUCAGUCGAAGAUACCAGCUGGCUGCAACUGUUUAUUAAAAACACAGCACUGUGCAAACACGAAAGUGGACGUAUACGGUGUGACGCCUGCCCGGUGCCGGAAGGUUAAUUGAUGGGGUUAUCCGUAAGGAGAAGCUCUUGAUCGAAGCCCCGGUAAACGGCGGCCGUAACUAUAACGGUCCUAAGGUAGCGAAAUUCCUUGUCGGGUAAGUUCCGACCUGCACGAAUGGCGUAAUGAUGGCCAGGCUGUCUCCACCCGAGACUCAGUGAAAUUGAACUCGCUGUGAAGAUGCAGUGUACCCGCGGCAAGACGGAAAGACCCCGUGAACCUUUACUAUAGCUUGACACUGAACACUGGUCCUUGAUGUGUAGGAUAGGUGGGAGGCUUUGAAGUGUGGACGCCAGUCUGCAUGGAGCCAUCCUUGAAAUACCACCCUUUAAUGGCUGGUGUUCUAACGUGGGCCCGUAAUCCGGGUUGCGGACAGUGUCUGGUGGGUAGUUUGACUGGGGCGGUCUCCUCCUAAAGAGUAACGGAGGAGCACGAAGGUCAGCUAAUCCUGGUCGGACAUCAGGAGGUUAGUGCAAUGGCAUAAGCUGGCUUGACUGCGAGCGUGACGGCGCGAGCAGGUGCGAAAGCAGGUCAUAGUGAUCCGGUGGUUCUGAAUGGAAGGGCCAUCGCUCAACGGAUAAAAGGUACUCCGGGGAUAACAGGCUGAUACCGCCCAAGAGUUCAUAUCGACGGCGGUGUUUGGCACCUCGAUGUCGGCUCAUCACAUCCUGGGGCUGAAGUAGGUCCCAAGGGUAUGGCUGUUCGCCAUUUAAAGUGGUACGCGAGCUGGGUUUAGAACGUCGUGAGACAGUUCGGUCCCUAUCUGCCGUGGGCGCUGGAGAAUUGAGGGGGGCUGCUCCUAGUACGAGAGGACCGGAGUGGACGCAUCACUGGUGUUCGGGUUGUCAUGCCAAUGGCAUUGCCCGGUAGCUAAAUGCGGAAGAGAUAAGUGCUGAAAGCAUCUAAGUACGAAACUUGCCCCGAGAUGAGUUCUCCCUGACUCCUUGAGAGUCCUGAAGGAACGUUGAAGACGACGACGUUGAUAGGCCGGGUGUGUAAGCGCAGCGAUGCGUUGAGCUAACCGGUACUAAUGAACCGUGAGGCUUAACCUU